CGACUCUCGGCAACGGAUAUCUCGGCUCUCGCAUCGAUGAAGAACGUAGCGAAAUGCGAUACUUGGUGUGAAUUGCAGAAUCCCGUGAACCAUCGAGUCUUUGAACGCAAGUUGCGCCCGAAGCCGUUAGGUCGAGGGCACGUCUGCCUGGGUGUCACG
rnacentral:rRNA from 2 species